UGGAGGCCGGUGGAGGCCGGUGGAGGCCGGUGGAGGCCGGUGGGUUUUGGGAGUGUGGUGGUGGAUGGGUCCUGUGGAGGCUGCGGCCUCUGAGGUGGUGGAUGGGCCCUGUGGUGGGAGCCUUGUGAUGGUACCAGGUUCCUGUGAGGGGAGAUGAGGUGGUGGAUGGGUCCUGUGGUGGGAGCCCUGUGGUGGUACCAGGUUCCUGUCAGGGGAGACGAGGUGGCAGUUGUCCCUGUGAAGGCAACAUGAGGCCCUUUAUUCCCUUUUGCCCACCAUGAGCCUGGAACUGCAACCGCUGGUUUUGUGGCCUGCUUGCCUCGUGUCUCUGUUUGAAACGAGUGGUUGGGGUCUGGGCUAACAGAGACAUAGCCUGGGAGUUAUACAGGGGCUUUAGAGUUUUGAGACAGGCAUGGUAAUUAAGAAGGAUCUGGUAUUACAAUAAUACCUGCUCUGGCUGUAAUUCCUAUUACACCUGUAAUACCUAAUAUUAAGAGUGUGAUAGUCAGAAGGCUGAGUUGCUCUGAGGUGAGGGUAGUGGAGUUGGCUACAGAGAUUCUCCGAGGUGAAGGAAGGUGAUUGACUGGGUUGGGCAGAGAAGGAUAAAGCCUGGAACUGAAACAGCAUGUACCGGAUUUGCAGCUGUUAGACUGAAAAGAUGUAGAUGAAGACUGAGAAGCAUCCUUGUCCUAGGAAUAUUGUUCACCAAGUACACGAGGGAAGAGGACGAGUAGAGACAAUAUGGGAGUCAUCACUUCUGCAUACAGACUGUUUGAAUUUAUCUUAAGCUUUAAGUCUCUAGGAAGAAUAGACUCUACCAAUAGUUUUUUGAAAUGUAUCCUAAUUCAGGAUUCAGAUUAAAGUAGGUUAAUCCAACAAGCCACUAAAAUGAAAAGGCAGAAUGGAAAAUUGAUUGUUGAAUUAUGACUGUCACAUCAGCUCUAAUUUAACAUGGUGACAUCAAGAUAAGUCAGUGUCUACCCAUACAUGAGUUCAUCAGCGUGACAAGACGGUUUGAAUUGUGAGACUCCCAAUUCCUAAAGGUGAAACGCAACUGAAUUAUAACCUACUGAGAGGUUGGUUGGAAGGCACCCAUGGGUGAGCUAAACCGGUGCUUUCCUAAAACAAACCAGAAAUUGACUGUUUUGUAGUUCAGAGAAAAGCUUAACUGUGAGAAAAUAUGAAAUCCUACUCGAGGAUGAAGACUGAACUGAAGAAGAAAUUUGUAAAACCAGGUUCAAUUGUGGCUAUAAAAAGUAUUCCUGAAGCAAGUCAUGGGGAGGUGACUUAAAACAAUGAUGGAAAAGGAGGAGAAGAUC